AAUCAACUGUCAAGUCUCUCUCUUCAUCAUUACAAGAAACAACAACAAAGAUUCUCCUCCAUCAUCUUGAAAGUUAAGAUGAGAACUACAUGCCACGAGCCUUAAGUAGUAAAGAAGGAAUGAGACUGAAGCUUUCCUACACUCAAUAAGGAUAUCUUUGGAUGCGGGACGUUUGGCCCGUUGCUUAUCGUAUCCGCCUUUACUCAUAGACUUUAGUGUGGUUCUUAUCCAAUAACUAUCAAGUUUAUUCCACUCUUU
rnacentral:lncRNA from 1 species